UUGAUCUCAAAUCAGGUAGGAUUACCCGCUGAACUUAAGCAUAUCAAUA
rnacentral:rRNA from 1 species